GAUGAACGCUGGCGGCGUGCUUAACACAUGCAAGUCGAACGAUGAUGCCCAGCUUGCUGGGUGGAUUAGUGGCGAACGGGUGAGUAACACGUGAGUAACCUGCCCUUGACUCUGGGAUAAGCCUGGGAAACUGGGUCUAAUACCGGAUACGACCAUCUGGCGCAUGUCAUGGUGGUGGAAAGCUUUUGUGGUUUUGGAUGGACUCGCGGCCUAUCAGCUUGUUGGUGGGGUAAUGGCCUACCAAGGCGACGACGGGUAGCCGGCCUGAGAGGGUGACCGGCCACACUGGGACUGAGACGCGGCCCAGACUCCUACGGGAGGCAGCAGUGGGGAAUAUUGCACAAUGGGCGCAAGCCUGAUGCAGCGACGCCGCGUGAGGGAUGACGGCCUUCGGGUUGUAAACCUCUUUCAGUAGGGAAGAAGCGAAAGUGACGGUACCUGCAGAAGAAGCGCCGGCUAACUACGUG
rnacentral:rRNA from 1 species